UACGUAGGGUGCAAGCGUUAAUCGGAAUACUGGGCGUAAAGCGUGCGCAGGCGGUGAUGUAAGACAGAUGUGAAAUCCCCGGGCUCAACCUGGGAACUGCAUUUGUGACUGCAUCGCUGGAGUGCGGCAGAGGGGGAUGGAAUUCCGCGUGUAGCAGUGAAAUGCGUAGAUAUGCGGAGGAACACCGAUGGCGAAGGCAAUCCCCUGGGCCUGCACUGACGCUCAUGCACGAAGCGUGGGGAGCAAACAGG
rnacentral:rRNA from 1 species